UUGUCAGUCAGACACACGAUCAUCUUUAACACAUCGACACCCAGCAUCAUGAUGUACAGGGCCGUCAGUGUUUACUGGAUCUCUGUUCUCCUGGUGCCCAGUGUGGCUCAGCAGAUGCCAGCUCGUGUAGUUAAUGGCACAGCAGACGCAGGACGUCUAGAGAUAUUGUACGAUGGAACUUGGGGCACAGUGUGUGACGAUGGAUUUGGACAGGCAGAGGCCUUGGUAGCCUGCAGGAUGCUAGGAUAUAACAGCACAACAGCAGUAGCCGUGGGGUCAGACAAGUACGGAGUAGGCUCUGGUCCUAUUCUGCUCGAUGACCUGCAGUGUGAGGGGAACGAAACCAGCCUGGCGCAGUGUAAGCAUCCAAGGUUUUACACACACGACUGUCAACACUCGGAGGAUGUCGGCGUCGCAUGCAACAUUAUUUCAGCUCAGCAGAUGUCAGCUCGUGUAGUUGGUGGCACAGCAGACGCAGGACGUCUAGAGAUAUUGUACAAUGGAACUUGGAGCACAGUGUGUGGCAUUAUGUUUCGACAGGAAGAGGCCUUGGUAGCCUGCAGGAUGCUAGGAUUUAACAGCACAACAGCAGUAGCUGUGGGGUCAGACAAGUACGGAGCAGGCUCAGGUCCUAUUCUGUUCAGUGACCUGCAGUGUGAGGGGAACGAAACCAGCCUGGCGCAGUGUCCACACCGAGGAGUCUACAUACACGACUGUACACACUGGCAUGAUGUCGGCGUCAUGUGCAACUUUCCUCAACAGAUGUCAGCUCGUGUAGUUGGUGGCACAGCAGCCGCAGGACGUCUAGAGAUAUUGUACGAUGGAACUUGGAGCACAGUGUGUGGCUAUAAAUUUGGACAGAGAGAGGCCUUGGUAGCCUGCAGGAUGCUGGGAUUUAAUAGCACAACAGCAGUAGCCGUGGGGUCAGUCAAGUACGGAGAAGGCUCUGGUCUUAUUCUGUUCGAUUUGCUGCAGUGUGUGGGGAACGAAACCAGCCUGGCGCAGUGUAAACACUGGGGGCUCUACAAACAAUACUGUCACCAUUUGUGGGAUGUCGGCGUGAUGUGCAACAACACCCAGCAGAUGUCAGCUCGUGUAGUUGGUGGCACAGCAGACGCAGGACGUCUAGAAAUAUUGUACGAUGGAACUUGGAGCACAGUGUGUGGCAAUAGGUUUGGACAGAGAGAGGCCUUGGUAGCCUGCAGGAUGCUAGGAUUCUACAGCACAACAGCAGUAGCCGUGGGUUCAGCAAAGUACGGAGCAGGCUCUGGUCCUAUUCUGUUCGAUGUCUUGCAAUGUGUGGGGAACGAAACCAGCCUGGAGCAGUGUCAACACUCGGGUUUCUACAAACAAUACUUUGGACACUCGUAUGAUGUCGGCGUCAUGUGCAAUAUUACUGACCAAAUGACAGCACGUCUGGCUGGCGGCACUUCACAGGCAGGACGUCUAGAGAUAUUUUUCAACGGGGAAUGGAGCACAGUGUGUAACAAGCAAUUUGGACAGGAAGAGGCUGAGGUAGCUUGCAGGAUGAUGGGAUUCAAAAGUGGUGGAGCAGCAGCUGUCAGCCCCAGUAGAUAUGGACAAGGUUCGGGUCACAUUCUGCUUAACAACGUGACCUGCCAGGGAACAGAAACCAGUCUAGAACAAUGUUGGCAUGACCCCCUGUACACCAGCUACUGUGAUCACUCGCAGGACGUUGGCGUCGUCUGUAACAUCACUGACCAGAUGACAGCACAUCUGGCUAACGGCACUUCACAGGCAGGACGUCUAGAGAUAUUUUUCAACGGAGAAUGGAGCACAGUGUGUAACAAGCAGUUUGGACAGGAAGAGGCUGAGGUAGCUUGCAGGAUGCUAGGAUUCAAAAGUGGUGGAGCAGCAGCUGUCAGCCCUCGUUUAUAUGGACAAGUUUCAGGUCACAUUCUGCUUAACAACGUGGUCUGCCAGGGAACAGAAACCAGUCUAACACAAUGCCAGCAUAGUGGCCUGUACACCAACGCGUGUAACCACUCAAGAGACGUUGGCGUCGUCUGUAACAUCACCAACAAUAUGUCUGCGCGGUUGGUUCACGGUACAUCUGCGGCGGGGCGACUUGAGAUCUUGUUUAACCAGGAAUGGACUACAGUGUGUGACAGAGGAUUUGGACAGGAAGAGGCGCAGGUAGCCUGCAGGAUGCUAGGAUUCAACAGUACUGGAGCAGCAGCUGUGAGUUCUGUUGUUUAUGGAGCAGGGUCAGGCCACAUUUUUCUCGAUGAGCUGAACUGCAAAGGAACAGAAACUAAUCUUGAAAUCUGCUCUAACAGCAUGUUUUAUUUAAACUCUUGUAAGCAUUCGAAUGAUGUUGGUAUCGUCUGUGACAUAGAGCUACGUCUGACGGGCACUAGUCGCACCAGACAAGACCUGGGCCUUGUAGAAAUGAAGACCGGGAGCACGUGGCAAGCUGUUUGCGUGUCUGACGUCACGACGGCGACAGUAGCGUGCAGACAACUCCGUCUACCCACAGGGGCAGCCGUUCACACAGGGGCAUUGUUAUAUGAAGCUAGGAAAAUCCCAGUCCUAGAGGUAUCUUUUACCUGUGAGGGCCAUGAGAACAAUCUUUUCCAUUGCGGCCAGAAUGUAGACGGCUACAAGAGUGAGUGUGACGACAGUGACGUGGGAGUCUUUUGCACCGACAUCCCUUCUGUUUAUAUCGUGUCUGCAAAUGAUUCGUAUCCGCUGAUGGCUGGAAACAAAUCAACUCUCAGGUGUUUGACCCCAAACAGUUACACAAUAGCAGAAAAGCCCGUUUGGUCAGAAACAGCAGGUGGUCGUCCUGAUGGAGAUCUUCUUAUCUUUGAACCUCUGACCAGGACACACAAUAUGAGACGAGUGACAUGCAACUUAACGUCUGUCAAAAAUAUAUCUGGUGAUAGCCUCGUACUAAAUGUUUAUUAUGAGCCGGUCAUCAGAAUAUCACCAAUGAGUAAUGUGAAUACCACAAGGACUGAAAACCUAGUCCUCUAUGAGAUCACUCAGGGACAGGAUGUCAUAUUUGUUUGUAAAGCUGACAGCAACCCACCUUCUGCUUCCAUUACUUGGCGAGGAAUAGUAAGCAGUGAUACCGGGGAACUAAGUAUUACAGCAGCAGACAACAGACACAGUGGUACCUACACCUGUACUGUGACUACUGAAACAGUUGAUGGUGAUGACCGUCUCCCACUGAAGUCAUCUCACCGGUUGAUUAUAAAUGUUAAAGGUUUUAUUCAUCAUCUGUCACUAUUAUUAAUGCUAUUACAUAUUGAAAGGGAAAGUAAAUAUCAAAUUAAAAUCAAAUGGAAGAUGCUGAUGUUCUAAAUCAUUCUUGUUCAUAAUUUCAUGUUAAACAGCAGCUUACGUACACUGUGUAGAUUAAGCACAUUUUUUGUAUAUACAGUAUAAUAUACAGUAAUUGCUCAUGAUAAGCACAGCAGCUGCGAGUGAAGCGAUCACCAAAAUGAAAUAAUAGUAAGUCUCAAUGCAAAAGCGCAAAAGUAUCAAUUUAGUAAGAAUCUAAAUAAAAGUUAUAGCACUAAGGGGUUCAAAACUACGAUGCUUUAUGGAAGUCAUUCUGUUGUGUGCUUACACUUUCUUUUAAAAAAAGACUCGUUCGCCGGAUAGCAAUUUUUAAGUAAGCCAAAAUUUUGAACAGAAAAAAUUAGACAUCAGUGUCUAUCAUUUAAAUUUAAUAUUUGUUCUUAGCCUUUCAGCCACUAUCUUGCUUUUCACAUCCAUUUUUCAAACACAAACAUCACAGCUUGACCACCAAAACUCGUAGAGCCAAGCGCAGCGCGUGUCGUGUCUACAGUGACUGAUGUGAUUUUCUUUCAAUCAUUUUGGAUUGUCCCAACUUCCAGAAAGCAGUCAGAUGUCAGAGUUUCCGCACCACACCUAGAUUUCUCCAAUAGGUAAGGACUGUCUACCAACCACACCAUCAGCCUAAAGGCAAACGAUUGGUCAUAUGAGGCCAAGAAUCUGCUGUGUUAAGGAAAAGUCUUCAGUGGAGAUGAUAUUUGCUUGGAGGAAAGAUUUAUUCUGCGGUAUUUCUUCAUUGAGGGGUUUGUGUUGCUGCGUAUGUAAGUAUGUUGUUCUUAUUAUUAUUCGUGUAAAUAUUCAUAAAGAAGACAAACAUGUUUCGUGUCUUCUGUUUACCUAAAAUCCAAUGAUUCCAUAAACCGGUAGUGGUGAAAUAUUUCUCUGCAUGAGUUAAGUCGUUGAUGUAAUGUCUUUUAUCAUUGACACAUCAAUAAUAAUGCCAAUACUGUUCGCGAAUUCAACUUUUUUUCUGAAACGUUAAUCUUUCGUUGUUUUCUUUUUCUUUUUUUCUUGUUUUUUUCUUUUUUUAGCGUGCCAUGCACAUUUCGUGUUUGUUCUCCUGCCCAGUUUAUUUUGUCAUUUGCGGCUAACAGCAAAACAAAAUUGACUACACAGCCUUUAAUCUAAAAUAAAAAGAAAGGAAGAGCAGAAACGUCCAUCGCGAUGGUCCAUCCUCUAAUCAUCGUUGAUAACCUUAGAAAAAAAGGUGAAAGUAAUCAUUAAACUACGAUUAUUUAAAACUGAGUUGUGCUGAUAGUUAAUUUAUGCUUUAAGAGAAAGUACAACAUUAUUAAAAACAUUAAAUGUAUAGGCUGACCGACUGUCUCCAAAUGCGUUUUUAAAGUCAUCUGCUCGUCUUUGUUUUAAUUAGAAGACCAAAUCAACAGCUUUCUUGUUUCGUCGGUAUUGACACAUUUACUGGUUUGCGAAGAAAAGAGAAAUAAUAAUUAUUUGAUUUUCUGUUUGUUAAAAACAACAGUUUCCAAUUUUGCAAAUAUACGUUUAAAUGAUUAGCGUGUAAAACAUAAUUGAUCAGACCCGUUGAACAUUUUAAAAUUUUAUUUGAACGCUGGGCUGUUAACUGAAGGCUUAUCUCCCUUCAGCAGAUGAUAAUGUGUUAACUCUUACAGGCUAAUUUACUUUUUUAGACGAUGGCUAAUGAGAUAAAGAACCAACCUACGAAAUCUUACUAAGCUGUAAGAUAAUUACUCUUCUGUACUUCCUGCUGUCCUACUAAUAGUAAGGUCUUAGUGUUCAUUAGCAUAUGCUCUUUACAUCAGACUGCAUCUUCAAUUAACACAAAUGACCCUCCCCAACAACAAAUCACUAACAAUCUUUCCAAAUCUGAUCAGCCAUCUUGCUAGCAUUCUUUUGGAACAGUUCUUUUUACCUGUAUUCGAUGUUUUUAUAACUCAUAUUCUACUCCGUCUCUGUGACACCCACCUGUCAUAUUUACAGUACACAGCUUAGCGUGUUAUUUCCGAACAUCGAGAAACAAACUUAAGACCUUAUACUAUUUUUUUUUCAAAAUUAAACAACCAAAGAUUAACAUUAACUGACUCAUGGACAGUAUAAGGUACAUUGCUUAAAUUUUCUAGAUUUCUAGGUGGUCGCAAGAAAAAAGUUGUACACAGUGAUGGACAAGUAGCAAAAAAAUCACUAAAUUUUAUCAUACAUAGAAAAAUAAAAAGAAAGAAAAUAAGGCAUCAUGUUAAAAUACAUAAAACACGAAGAUUUAUUUUUUAAUUACAUGCCGCGCUCUUUUGUAAUAUUAGAGCAGUGGUUCUCAAAGUAUUUCGGACCGCGGACCACUUUACUUAAGUAAGAAAUAUGGCGGACCACCAAGGCCUAAAAAUCAGUCUGUACUAUGAAUUUCAAAUUUAA
rnacentral:misc_RNA from 1 species